rnacentral:tRNA from 1 species
GGGCAGAUCGAGCAGGUGGUGAGCUCCGCUGACUGUAGAUCAGCCGCCUUUGUGCUGUGGGGGUUCGAUUCCCUCUCUGCCCACCC